AUUGAACGCUGGCGGCAUGCUUUACACAUGCAAGUCGAACGGCAGCGCGGGCUUCGGCCUGGCGGCGAGUGGCGAACGGGUGAGUAAUGCAUCGGAACGUGCCCAGUAGUUGGGGAUAGCCCGGCGAAAGCCGGAUUAAUACCGCAUACGACCUGAGGGUGAAAGCGGGGGACCGAAAGGCCUCGCGCUCUUGGAGCGUCCGAUGUCGGAUUAGCUAGUUGGUGGGGUAAAGGCUUACCAAGGCGACGAUCCGUAGCUGGUCUGGGAGAACGACCAGCCAACCGGGACUGAGACACGGCCCAGACUCCUACGGGAGGCAGCAGUGGGGAAUUUUGGACAAUGGGGGCAACCCUGAUCCAGCCAUGCCGCGUGCGGGAAGAAGGCCUUCGGGUUGUAAACCGCUUUUGUUCGGGAAGAAAUCCUCUGGGCUAAUACCCCGGGGGGAUGACGGUACCGGAAGAAUAAGCACCGGCUAACUACGUG
rnacentral:rRNA from 1 species